GAGUUUGAUCAUGGCUCAGGGUGAACGUUGGCGGUGCGUCUAAUACAUGCAAGUCGAGCGCGUCUUCGGACGAGCGGCGGACGGCUGAGUAACACGUUAGUAGCUACCCCCUACUCAGGGAUAACCAUUGGAAACGAUGGCUAAUACCGGAUGGCCCCGUAAGGGUAAAGAUUUUUCGGUAGGGGAGGUGCUUGCGGCCUAUCAGCUUGUUGGUAAGGUAACGGCUUACCAAGGCUAUGACGGGUAGCUGGUCUGAGAGGAUGAUCAGCCAGAAGGAGACUGAGACACGGCUCCUACUCCUACGGGAGGCAGCAGUAAAGAAUCUUCCACAAUGGACGAAAGUCUGAUGGAGCGACACCGCGUGCAGGAUGACGGCCUUCGGGUUGUAAACUGCUUUUCUGGGUGAGUAAUUAUGAACGUAACCUAGGAAUAAGCACCGGCUAAUUCCGUGCCAGCAGCCGCGGUAAUACGGAAGGUGCAAACGUUACCCGGAAUCAUUGGGCGUAAAGCGUCCGCAGGCUGCGUAGUAAGUCAGUAAUUAAAUAUCGGGGCCCAACUCCGAUGCUGUUACCGAAACUGCUAUGCUAGAGGAAUGGAGAGGUUAGUGGAAUUCUGAAUGUAGGGGUAAAAUCCGUAGAUAUUCAGAGGAACACCAAAAGCGAAGGCAGCUAACUGGCCAUUUCCUGACGCUCAUGGACGAAAGCGUAGGUA
rnacentral:rRNA from 1 species